rnacentral:rRNA from 1 species
GACGAACGCUGGCGGCGUGCUUAACACAUGCAAGUCGAACGGUAAGGCCCUUCGGGGUACACGAGUGGCGAACGGGUGAGUAACACGUGGGUGAUCUGCCCUGCACUUCGGGAUAAGCCUGGGAAACUGGGUCUAAUACCGGAUAGGACUCCGGACUGCAUGGUCUGGGGUGGAAAGCUUUUGCGGUGUGGGAUGGGCCCGCGGCCUAUCAGCUUGUUGGUGGGGUGAUGGCCUACCAAGGCGACGACGGGUAGCCGGCCUGAGAGGGUGACCGGCCACACUGGGACUGAGAUACUGCCCAGACUCCUACGGGAGGCAGCAGUGGGGAAUAUUGCACAAUGGGCGCAAGCCUGAUGCAGCGACGCCGCGUGAGGGAUGACGGCCUUCGGGUUGUAAACCUCUUUCAGCAUCGACGAAGCGAAAGUGAUGGUAGGUGCAGAAGAAGGACCGGCCAACUACGUGCCAGCAGCCGCAGUAA